rnacentral:rRNA from 1 species
GCACAAGCGGUGGAGCAUGUGGUUUAAUUCGAUGCUACGCGAAGAACCUUUACCUGGGCUUGACAUCCCGGGAAUCCUCCAGAGAUGGAAGAGUGCCCUUCGGGGAACCCGGAGACAGGUGCUGCAUGGCUGUCGUCAGCUCGUGUCGUGAGAUGUUGGGUUAAGUCCCGCAACGAGCGCAACCCUCGCCUUUAGUUGCCAGCAUUCAGUUGGGCACUCUAGAGGGACUGCCGGUGUCAAACCGGAGGAAGGUGGGAUGACGUCAAGUCCUCAUGGCCUUUAUGUCUAGGGCUACACACGUACUACAAUGGCCGGUACAAAGGGCAGCCACUCAGCGAUGAGGCGCUAAUCCCAUAAAGCCGGUCUCAGUCCGGAUCGCAGUCUGCAACUCGACUGCGUGAAGUUGGAAUCGCUAGUAAUCGUGGAUCAGAAUGUCACGGUGAAUACGUUCCCGGGUCUU